rnacentral:rRNA from 1 species
UACGUAGGGAGCAAGCGUUGUCCGGAAUCAUUGGGCGUAAAGCGCGCGUAGGCGGCCCUGUAAGUCCGUUGUGAAAGUCAAAGGCUCAACCUUUGAAAGCCGAUGGAUACUGUGAAGCUAGAGUCCGGAAGAGGCGAGUGGAAUUCCUGGUGUAGCGGUGAAAUGCGCAGAUAUCAGGAGGAACACCGGUGGCGAAGGCGGGUCUCUGGGCCGAUACUGACGCUGAGGAGCGAAAGCGUGGGGAGCGAACAGG